GGAAAUUAAUGUAUCGUAAUAACAUCUAGUUGGCCCAACAGAGGAGUCAAUGUAUAACACAACUUUUUAUUUCACCUCUGUGCUUGUUCAAUAUUCUUUCUUGUUACGAUUCGUAACGUUUGUUCACAUGUGUUUAAUGUAGUAUAUGGAUUGUUGAUUCUAGGUUUUAUCUGCCCGCGUCGUUGCGCGCGGUAGUUGCUAGAUCAAGUGUCAUUAUCGACACUUUCAUCUUCUUACUAUGGUAUUGUGUAAUCAGUUUACGAUAUUCUUCUGUACUUUUAACAUGAAAUGACUUCUAACAGGGAGAAAGGACGGAUUUCCAUCCAGGACCCGAGGACUAAUUUUCUACGUUAAUCUUUUACUCAUAUAUAAAAGAAACGUCUAAGUUAUAGUAGUGAAUGAAUGCUUCGGAAAAUAGGGUUUGUUCAACCCCAUCCGAUCUAUACUUUGGGAAAGUGCUCCUGAAGGGUCCUCCAGUGGGUAGGAUCAUGAUGAGAGCGGGUUUACCCAAUGUAUGGGUUUUCUGACCGAUCAAAAAUGCAACCGAGCGGUUCGGAUAGUGUUGGGAAUCUAUACUUUGGGAAAGUGCUCCUGAAGGAUCCUCCAGUGGGUAGGAUCAUGAUAAGAGCGAGUUUACCCAAAGUAUGGAUACCCUGACCGAUCAAAAAUGCAACCGAGCGGUUCGGAUAGUGUUGGGAGGAGGAAAUGGGCCCGAACCCUGGCCGAUACGGAUCUUCUGUAUCCGCCUCAACGUCUAAGUUAUAGUAGUAGCUACCAUAUAAUUUAAUCUGAUAUAGCUUGUGUGUUUAUUUCGUAGGUACGUUAGAUAAAAUAUUAUAACUAACACAAAGACCACUUGGUUGCUAGAGUUAAAGAUC
rnacentral:rRNA from 1 species